UUCUGGGAUGAGCAUUUGGCCUCCAUCUCUCCAGAUUCCAGGGCUUUCUCUGCUUGUUUCCUUCUGACUCCAGUGCAUACUUGGCCAAGUAUGCCUCACACACUUAUGGCACCAACGGUUUCUGGAAGUCAGAACCACGUGGCUGGAACAAGACUACUUUCAUGCUCUAGACUGAGUUAUGUAAGCUCCAAAAAAGCGGAGGACAACUUCGUCUGCCUCUUUCUCAGAUUUUACAGCGUGCACAGGCGUAAAUGAAUGGGGGAGUGUAGUGAACAGCUCUGCAAGACAGCAGGAAAAAAAUGCUUUCUUUCAUGAUCGGAAGCGAGAUAUUGGCCAGAAAACUUCUCCCAUCGCUUCAGAGAAGCUUAAAAUGAGUCAAGCGUGGACUGAAGCUAAAGUUGAGAGACAGCGGCACCGUGCCCAGAACACAGUCCGAGCCUUAACAUUUGAAUGGAGCAAAGUGGGAACUGAGAUGCCCAGACAUCUAGCAACACAGUUGGUGAUCUCCCCGGACAGGACAGGCAUGAGUGUGGGAGAGAUAACCUCAUCACUCAACUGCUGCGGGGUGGCACCAGUGCAAGAUGACUGGGAUGUGUGAAAGAGCCAGACCUGCUGUUCCAAAGCUGCAGGACACAGGGCAACAACAGGACAACUGGGAGGAGACCCAAUGAAGAUUCAAUACUGAUGGUGUCACAGAAGCCAAAGACCUCAAACCAGACCAAAGACUCAUUGCCAUGAACAUUUGUAAGAGAAGUUGUGUGGUCAGAGGGAUAUACUAUGGGACACACUGUGACACACUACAGCUUCCAUGAUGCGAUGUUUUCUAUACUUUGUGUUUUAU